UACGGAGGGUGCAAGCAUUGAUCGGAAUUACUGGGCGUAAAGGGCGCGUAGGCGGCUUUAUAAGUCAGAUGUGAAAUUCCGGGGCUCAACCCCGGAGCUGCAUUUGAAACUAUAAGACUAGAGUUCAGUUAGGGUAAACGGAAUUCCACGUGUAGCGGUGAAAUGCGUAGAUAUGUGGAAGAACACCGGUGGUGAAGACGGUUUACUGGGCUGAUACUGACGCUGAGGCGCGAAAGCAUGGGGAG
rnacentral:rRNA from 1 species